AUGCUCGCUUCGGCAGCACAAAUACUAAAAUUGCAACAAUACACGGAAAAUUAACAUGGCCCCUGCACAAGGAUGACAAGCAAAUUCAUGAAGACGUUCUUCUUUAA